AUACGUAGGGGGCGAGCGUUGUCCGGAAUGAUUGGGCGUAAAGGGCGCGUAGGCGGCCCGGUAAGUCUGGAGUGAAAGUCCUGUUUUUAAGAUGGGAAUUGCUUUGGAUACUGUCGGGCUUGAGUGCAGGAGAGGUAAGUGGAAUUCCCAGUGUAGCGGUGAAAUGCGUAGAGAUUGGGAGGAACACCAGUGGCGAAGGCGACUUACUGGACUGUAACUGACGCUGAGGCGCGAAAGUGUGGGGAGCAAACAGGAUUAGAUACCCUGGUAGUCCACACUGUAAACGAUGAAUGCUAGGUGUAGGGGGUAUCGACCCCUUCUGUGCCGCAGUAAACACAAUAAGCAUUCCGCCUGGGGAGUACGGUCGCAAGAUUAAAACUCAAAUGAAUUGACGGGG
rnacentral:rRNA from 1 species